rnacentral:rRNA from 1 species
CAGCAGCAGCCGCGGGAAUACGAAGGGUGCAAGCGUUACUCGGAAUUACUGGGCGUAAAGCGUGCGUAGGUGGUGGUUUAAGUCCGUUGUGAAAGCCCUGGGCUCAACCUGGGAAUUGCAGUGGAUACUGGGUCACUAGAGUGUGGUAGAGGAUAGUGGAAUUUCCGGUGUAGCAGUGAAAUGCGUAGAGAUCGGAAGGAACAUCUGUGGCGAAGGCGGCCCCCUGGACAAAGACUGACGCUCAGGUGCGAAAGCGUGGGGAGCAAACAGGAUUAGAUACCCGCGUAGUCCCUGUCUCUUAUAC